UUGAAAGUCUUCAUCCAUGCCAUACUUUGAUCAAUAGUCAUUUGAGGGCUCUUAACAUAGCUAUCAUCUUGAGCACAUCCAUCUUGAGCUAGUGACUUAGGAUUCUCCCUUGUUCAUGAUAAGAUAUACUUGAAUCCUUAAGUCACUCCAUUUUACCAAUCACACUAGAUUGAAUGCAUUGCAUUGCUUCCCUUGGUAAGGCCUAGAUAUGAUACUUUAAAAC
rnacentral:lncRNA from 1 species